GGUGAACGCUGGCGGCGUGCUUAAGACAUGCAAGUCGAACGGCAGUCUUCGGACUGUAGUGGCGCACGGGUGAGUAACGCGUAACUGACCUACCCCAAAGUCGCGGAUAACGAUUCGAAAGAAUCGCUAAUACGUGAUGUGCUGUCAGAUUGUGUUCUGCCAGUAAAGGUUGAUUGCUUUGGGAUGGGGUUGCGUUCCAUCAGCUAGUUGGUGGGGUAAAGGCCCACCAAGGCGACGACGGAUAGCCGGCCUGAGAGGGUGGCCGGCCACAGGGGCACUGAGACACGGGUCCCACUCCUACGGGAGGCAGCAGUUAGGAAUCUUCCACAAUGGGCGAAAGCCUGAUGGAGCGACGCCGCGUGAGGGAUGAAGGUCUUCGGAUCGUAAACCUCUGAAUCAGGGACGAAAGACACUUCGGAGGGAUGACGGUACCUGAGUAAUAGCACCGGCUAACUCCGUGCCAGCCGCCGCGGUAAAAC
rnacentral:rRNA from 1 species